GGCCUCUAAAGAUACCGGAUUCGCAAUACCUGAAUUAAGCGAAAGAGUCGAAAGAGAUCUGGAAUCGGAGAGGGGAGAGAUGAAUCGAUACUUGUCUUUUCAGACGCCAGCCACAUCGGGUGUGGAGCU